CUUUCCCUCUGGCGGCAGGCCUAACACAUGCAAGUCGAGCGGAUGAAGGGAGCUUGCUCCUGGAUUCAGCGGCGGACGGGUGAGUAAUGCCUAGGAAUCUGCCUGGUAGUGGGGGAUAACGUCCGGAAACGGGCGCUAAUACCGCAUACGUCCUUAGGGAGAAAGUGGGGGAUCUUCGGACCUCACGCUAUCUGAUGAGCCUAGGUCGGAUUCGCUAGUUGGUGGGGUAAAGGCGUACCAAGGCGACGAUCCGUAACUGGUCUGAGAGGAUGAUCAGUCGCACUGGAACUGAGACACGGUCCAGACUCCUACGGGAGGCAGCAGUGGGGAAUAUUGGACAAUGGGCGAAAGCCAGAUCCAGCCAUGCCGCGUGUGUGAAGAAGGUCUUCGGAUUGUAAAGCACUUUAAGUUGGGAGGAAGUGCAGUAAGUUAAUACCUUGUUGUUUUGACGUUACCAACAGAAUAAGCACCGGCUAACUUCGUG
rnacentral:rRNA from 1 species